AGUAGCGAACGGGUGAGUAACGCGUGGGUAACCUGCCUUAUAGCGGGGGAUAACUAUUGGAAACGAUAGCUAAUACCGCAUAACAAUAGAGAUUGCAUAAUCUUUAUUUGAAAGUGCCAACUGGUACACUAUGAGAUGGACCCGCGUUGUAUUAGCUAGUUGGUAGUGUAAUGGACUACCAAGGCGAUGAUACAUAGCCGACCUGAGAGGGUGAUCGGCCACAUUGGGACUGAGACACGGCCCAAACUCCUACGGGAGGCAGCAGUAGGGAAUCUUCGGCAAUGGACGAAAGUCUGACCGAGCAACGCCGCGUGAGUGAAGAAGGUUUUCGGAUCGUAAAACUCUGUUGUUAGAGAAGAAUGUUGAUUAGAGUGGAAAAUUAAUCAAGUGACGGUAUCUAACCAGAAAGGGACGGCUAACUACGUGCCAGCAGCCGCGGUAAUACGUAGGUCCCGAGCGUUGUCCGGAUUUAUUGGGCGUAAAGCGAGCGCAGGUGGUUUAAUAAGUCUGAUGUAAAAGGCAGUGGCUCAACCAUUGUGUGCAUUGGAAACUGUUAGACUUGAGUGCAGUAGAGGAGAGUGGAAUUCCAUGUGUAGCGGUGAAAUGCGUAGAUAUAUGGAGGAACACCGGUGGCGAAAGCGGCUCUCUGGACUGUCACUGACACUGAGGCUCGAAAGCGUGGGUAGCAAACAGGAUUAGAUACCCUGGUAGUCCACGCCGUAAACGAUGAGUGCUAGUUGUUUG
rnacentral:rRNA from 1 species